GACAGAGGGGGCAAGCGUUGCUCGGAAUUACUGGGCGUAAAGGGCGCGUAGGCGGGAUGGCAAGUCGGUCGUGAAAUCCCUCGGCUCAACCGAGGAACGUCGAUCGAUACUGCUGUUCUUGAGGAUUGCAGAGGAGACUGGAAUUCCCGGUGUAGCGGUGAAAUGUGUAGAUAUCAGGAGGAACACCGGUGGCGAAGGCGGGUCUCUGGGCAACAACUGACGCUGAGGAGCGAAAGCGUGGGGAGCGAACAGG
rnacentral:rRNA from 1 species